AGAACCGCUAGCAGCCGACUCCUCUUCAUCGCUAUGACAAUAAAAAACACAUUUUCUAUCAGUUAACUUUUUUUCCCAAUAAUUUCUGCUUUGAUUUUUAGGAAAACUGUAAAUUACUUCACAGACCCUGUGACCAGUGGGACCAAAACAGAUGGACAGGGUCUGCCCGACAGAUCUGGAGGUUAAAGCAGUCGCUUCACCUGGCGUGACCUCUUCCUGCAGGAGGGCUGAAUACUUCCUGACUGGCUGACACUGAUGACAGACUAUCAGCCAAUAAUUAAAGAGUUUAUGGU